UCUUGGUCAUUUAGAGGAAGUAAAAGUCGUAACAAGGUCUCCGUUGGUGAACCAGCGGAGGGAUCAUUAGUGUAUUGAACACUCAUCCUUUGUGAACCUAUUAUUUUAUUCUGUUGAUGUAUUAUGAGAAAACUACAAAUGAUAAAAACUUUCAGCAACGGAUCUCUUGGCUCUAGCAUCGAUGAAGAACGCAGCGAAAUGCGAUAAGUAAUGCGAAUUGCAGAAUUCAGUGAGUCAUCGAAUCUUUGAACGCACAUUGCGCCUGCUGGACAUCCAGCAGGCAUGCCUGUUUGAGCGUUAUUUUCACCAAUCUCUGUAUAGAGGCGCUGGAGAAUGGCGUGCCAUCUCUGAAAAGCAGUGGUAAAAGACAUGGUGUUUUCUCUGUGUAGUAAAGCUCUCACACUGAAGCGCUGUGGCCAUACCAAAACAUGACAAGGUUAACCUCAAAUCAGGUAGGAAUACCCGCUGAACUUAAGCAUAUCAAUAAGCGGAGGAA
rnacentral:rRNA from 1 species